rnacentral:rRNA from 1 species
AUGGAGCGUACCGGCGGCAAGGGCGACGACGACUCGCGGCUGAUGCGCGACCUCUGCACGCUGCUCGUCACCAUCAUCGCCCCCGUCGCGGCGGCGUCCUCGACGAACUCGCCCCGGAGGCCCGUGGCGCGGCGCCCGCGGGGCGGCAUGUCGCCGGCGGGCGCGGCGUCGAUGCUUCUGGGCGCGUCGAUGGCGCUGAUGCUGUGCGGGUCCGUGACGUUCGCCAUCGGCUUCCUCCUCAUGCCGUGGGUCGCCGGCGUCGCGCUGCUCUUCGGCUUCGCCGGCGUCAUCUCCACCCUCUCCUCCGGCCUCCUCCCCUCGUCCUCCUCCAAGGAGCAACGGCUGCGGACGCCGACGCAAGGGCGUGUCCGUGCCUCUGCCCCGAUGAGCUCUGUCCCGGAUAAGCUCGUGGCGUGGCGUUGA